CUGCUUGUGUGUGUUUUACAAUCCAGUCGUGCCAAAAUUUUUUGGACGAGUGCGUUCUGAAAUACCUGGAAUACUGUAGACCUAAGACAUGACAACCCUGAGGGCAGAAACACUUCAGAAACACCCCUGUCAUGCAGUCAGUGCGUGGAUGAACAUGCGGGAGGGACAAGAGAGGCAUCCAGAAGGUCAAGGGUGUAACUCAAGAAGCGUGACAAUCAGAGCUGUUGGGUCCUUGUCACAUGAGAAUGUGACAAAAAAGCAAAAACAAAAGCUGUCAGUCACAACUUUAAGCACAAGGCCAGCAAGAACUUCAAUCUAAGCAGCAGAUGUACCCUCAUGAUAGCUUUUGUUAUGUUUAGUCCCUGAGAAAGUUAUGGCAUCCGUGUUGUUGUGAGGGUGUGUGCAUGUGUGUGUGUUACUGUAACAAGGUAGCCUUUCGCGGUUGGAUUUUACAGUGAGGAUGAAGCUUUGAGGCAGAGUCAGGUUUAUUCUUCACAUAAAAUCAACACUUCACACUUGAAACUGCAGUCUUAAAUAGUCCCAACCGUGACAGACCAAACCAUCUUUAGUUCACAGGGGAAUCUCAAUUCAUCAAUAUCCACUUAUUUAAUUAAAAUACCUUUUACUAAAUACAAACAUUUCCAUUUACUUUUUAUAAAUAUUUUAUGUUUUAUCAUUACACCAUAUGAAACACCACAAAACCCAUAAACAAUUCCCCCCCACACACUUUUCAAUGGCCUCUCCCGGAGACUAUAUAUGGUGUCUGGACCCCCGGGGUAGUAUUUGUCCAAACACCCUGGAGAGGACACAGAAAAGACAGGCAACCACCUCACUCGUCAAUGAGGAGCAGCUGUGCAGAGCCCAGAACAAAAGGCUACAUGCUAAUCUCUAAAAAUACUCAAUAAAUACAAUUAAAACUUCUUGUGUGCAAAUUGUUAUUGAUGUACAAAUCUAUGCUUAAAGUACAGUGCUAAAUAAAGUGCUUGUUAAAAAAGUGCAAAAAGUACUUUUAAAAGUGCUAUACAGUGACUUCAGUAAAAUAGUCCUAGUAAUGAAGAUCUCUUCAUUACAGUUACUAAGAAGGCUUGUAAAUGUAAGUUAAUUUUUAGGCUUUUAUGAAUAUCCCUUUUCUUAAAGUCCUAAAAGCAUAGUUUACUGCACUUCCUAAUAUAAAAAGCCCAAACAAUAACUGAGUCUGUAGAUGAGUUGAUGGUUAGAAUCCUCCAUCUGAAAUUGAAAUAAAAAUAAAACAAACC